UGUCAGUCUUUGGCAACUCCUUUGUUGACAAGAAAUGUUUGACGAAAGAGUUCCCAAGUUGACAACAUACCGGACGGGAGCCAGAAAUAUCAACUUAACAUUAAUACGCACAUACGAGCGGCAACCAUUUUGAAAUAUAAAUCCAACUGCAUUGAUUCGUGUGUCAAAUAAUAACAAAUUUAUAACGUUGCGAUUUUCUUUUCCUUUAUAUUAUUGUGUUCGUGUCCGGACUGUUUUAAUAUAGUAAAAAUGGUUGGCAAAAGCCGAUAUUGUGAGAUAUGCGGCGUGAGAGAAAUUUUCAGAGAAGGCUUCUUUGCCAAAUUUCCCAAGGAUAAACUGCGGUAAGUCAACCAGUUCCUAAUUACAACUAGGGAAUAAAUCAAAUUACUUUAUUAAACAUUUUGAUUUGUUAGUCGCGUAAGCUGAAGGCGGUUCGAAUCCGCCACUCCGUAAUGCCGUAAGGGAUUCAUAUGCUUAGGAGCAGCAAGCACGGACUGCUCGCCCUUAGAGUUGGUUAAAGACUUUUCAGUCGUAACUAAUUGUUUUUUGCUAUGUUUGCUACCAGUAAAUCUCUUCCAGUUGUUAUAAUGGAUAUAUAUAGUUUUAGGAAAUAAUAGGUUCCAAUAUCAUUAUCUCUUUAAACUCUAUUUCUGUUAGUACACUAUCUUUUAUUACUUACCUACUACAAAAGCUUUGAUGUAAUUCACUGUAAUUUUUGGUGGCUAUAUCCGAAGUACUUAUUGAACCCAUUUGGGUUCUAAUCAAUUUAAAAUACUAUCUUCGUCUUAUGUUUGUAAUAAUUGUACUACAUAUUAACUUCUUAUGCAUCUUUGUACCUCUCAAUAGUGUGUCAGUAUAUUAUUUGCUCACAGGUGUAAAACUUGGCUUAGACAAGUUGGAAAAGAAGAUCUCAUUCACGUACCCAUUGAAAAAUUGCAUGAGCUUCGUCAUGUUUGUGGUGACCACUUUGACUGGAGAGACUUUGGGAAGACAGGAAAUAAGCUUAAAAAAAGAGCCUAUCCAAAGUUAAAUCUUUCUGCACCUCCACUGUCAGAACAUCAAUUAACAGGAUUUCCUCAAUAUGUUGCAAGUAGACAAGGUGCAGACCAGAGCCAUGCACUUUUACAUGCCAGGAUACCUCUCUCGACAUCUAGCACUGAAAAUGGUAAUUAUGCUAGUUACCAUCUUUGAAAUAAUCGUUUCAAACAGACUUAAAGAUAACAAUAGCAUCGCAAUAUUCUCAUCUUCACAUCCUGUUCGAAAUUAUUUGUUGUACCGGCAUAUUCCCACGACUCAAGGGAGCCUGGGGUCCACUUGACAACUAAUCCCAAGAUUUGGCAUAGGCACUAGUUUUUACGAAAGCGAAUGCCAUCUGACCUUCCAACACAGAGGGUAUAAAUCCUUUCAAAAUGAAACAAUGAAUUAGAUUUACCGAAAGAGGGAGUGGGACAGGACACGCGCCGUGCUUCAAUAACACCUCAUCGAAAAUACGUUAAAAAUAAGAAAAAACCGGCCAAGAGCAUGUCGGGCCACGCUCAGUGUAGGGUUCCGUAGUUACUCUUCCUUCACAAUAAGCAAACUGGAGCUUAAAGUAUAGUAAAUUGUUAACCAAGGGAUGAAACGGUACCUUUCACCCGAGUUAAACAAAUAGGCAAAUUUGCAUAAUCAGUACCUAAUUAAAGUAAGUCUUUUUACUAUGAAGGGGAAACUUUUUGCGAUAACUCAAAAACAGCUAAACUGAUCAUGUCCACUAUAGUUUUCAUUUAAUGUGUUUCUUGAGCUCUACUUCCACGAUUUUUUUCAUAUUUUUUGGACCUAUGGUUCAAAAGUUAGAGGGGGGGACACAUGUUUUUUUCUUUCGGAGCGAUUAUCUCCGAAUAUAUUCACUUUAUCAAAAAAUGUUUGUUGAAUACCCCUAUUAGUUUUGAAAGAUCUUUCCAACGAUACCCACACUGUAGGGUUGAAGCUAAAAAAAAAUCACCCCCAAUUUACGAGUAGGGGAGGUACCCUAAAAAAGAUUAAAUUUUUAGAUUUUAUUGUACGACUUUGUCGGCUUUAUUGAUUUAUAUAACCAUGCCAAAUUUCAGCUUUCUAGCACUAACGACCACGGAGCGAAGCCUCGGACAGACAGGCAGACAGACAGACGGACAUGGCGAAACUAUAAGGGUUCCUAGUUCACUAAUGAACCCUAAUGAAACACGAAAGGAAACAAGCGUAAGCGUCUGCAAGCUUUCAUACAUAUUACGCCAUUUUGAUCCUAGCAUUGCUAAGUUACUUGUCAAAAUGACGCGAAAAAUCUAAGUCAUCAGGAGGCCUACCGCGAAAACCGAAAUUCGCCAAUUGCGGGGAUAUUUCUCUUUUACUCUCUCUAAGACGUCAUUAGAGUGACAGAGAAAAAUGCCCGCAAUUGACGAACUUUGAUUUUCGCGGUAGGCCCGCGGUAAAUUCAUACGUAAGUGCGACAGCGAAGCAAAACUUCGUGGUUCGCGGUAGGCCUCCAUAUUUGUUAGCUAUUAUUGUACUAACGCGUAAACCAGUAUAACCUGACCUCAAGACUCAUAUUGCUGGUCAUGUUUAAUCUGAAUCAAUUAGACUGGACAGUUAAAUGGUUACUUUAUAAGCGAUUGAAAUGCCUACCAAGUCUCACUGGGCAUUUACGAAGCUUGCUAGAAAUAGAAACAGAUAUCGUGUAAGGGACCAAAAUAUUAUUUAAUUUAUUGAAAUAUAAUAUAGUGGCGUACACAAAAUAUGAUAUUUUACAUUAGAUUAUUAAUAAAAAAGUAAAUAUAAUUUGUAUAGGUGAAAUAAACAUCUACAAUUUAACGAUUUGAAUUUGUAAUACUUUUUGUUAACGUGCUUCGUAUAGUAUUUCGAUCAUUUACGAUUUUGACAUAUAUAUAGUACGAGAAACUCGAAAAAGUUGUUCGUAAUCUUUAGUUGUGUUUUAUAAAUAGUGAUAAGUGACCAUUCUUAUAAAUAUGCCAAAAUAACAAUAUAUUUACAUUGUUUUCGCGAUAAAAUAUACCUGUGGGUCUUUCUUUGUGUCUUUUGCAUACAAAAAUCAAGUGUAUAUUACACGCCGGUGGCAUUACCGCGCGAACGUUAUUGAGGCUUUCGUUUGUUAUCAUAUUACAAUGAUAUUAUUACUGAUAAAUUAUGAGGUGGUAAAUUAGUAAUUUCUGUAUAAUAAUAGUACAAAAAUAUUGGAUUUGUUCUCCUUAGUUUGUUAAUUGUUUGUUUGGUAGUUUAUGGUUAGUAUAAAUAUCUAACAAGAAACUCUAUCAAUACUAUGCUAUGAGAUAUUGAAAUUUCGUAUAGAAACAUUGAUUGAAGGUUAAUUAUAUUAAAUCUCUUCUUCCUCGCGUUUCCGGCAUAUUCCCACGGCUCAUGAGAACCUGGGGUCCGCUUGAAAACUAAUCCCUAGAUUUGGCGUAGGCACUAGUUUUUACGAAAGCGACUGCCAUCGUAUCGAAAAGCGACUGGUGCACACCAGAGCCAUGCACCUUUACAUGCCAGGAUACCUCUCUCGACAUCGAGCACUGAAAAUGCUUUGGUACCAGCGAGACGCCGAUCUAGUGAUACUCUAGUUCUUACUCUAGCACCACGUAUAUUCUGUCAACUCCAUCUUGUGAGAGGGACGAGAUCGCGGCGACGACGUCGCGGAGCUCGUGCCCCUCAGUAUCCUGCAGGAGGACACUGGCUUCUAUGAGUACAUGUUUAAAAGUAAUUGCCUACGAAAGGAGUGCCUGGCGUCCGUUGGCUCGUUGGGUGGACGACAUUCGGAAGACUGCGGGUCACUUCUGGAUGAGACUGGCUCGGGACCGGGAUAAGUGGCGUACUAGAAGAGAGGCCUAUGCUCAGCAGUGGGCGAUAAAAGGCUGAUAUGAUGAUGAUGAUGAAUUGUAUUAAAUGUGAGUAAUAAAACAUUGGUGAAAAGCAAAUUAAAAACUUGCUAAAAAUAGCAAAGUUUAGUAAGAACAAAGACCUGAAGGAAACUUCGCAAGCUGAGAUUAGAGAGAAGUGUUUAAGAUUAUAUGGAAACUUUGGUACCAGCGAAACGCUCCCCGUCUUGCUGACAACCUGGAUCUAGUGAUACUCUAGUUCUUACUUCUGAUAAUCGAAAAACGAAGCAAGCAAAUCACAAGACUGAUGAUUACAAUACAACGAAGAAAGCAUUGCUGAAGAAGCUCAAGAAAGUGAAAACGAGUUUACUUUAUAAGUUUUUGCCUAAUAAGUAGGACUUUAACUAGACAAAUUGAUUUUUUUAAAUCCAUCUUUACAACAUGGUAUCUAUGCUUACCAUAGGGUGUACAGAUGAAGUAGGAUGAGUGAUUUAGUAAGCCCAAUAAAAAAGUAACCCAGAACUGCCAUAACUAAUUAAUUACUUAGAAGUUAGAAUACAGAUUCAGGAUCAUUUAUAUCUUGUUGAAAAUUAACAUAUUUUAUAUCUGGGAGACCGAGUUUUGAUCGGAACAGUGUUGGCCGAAAGUUAAUUGCAAUUAACCAUUGUUGGCUCGGAAAACAUAAAAACAAAAAAAAAUGCACGUUUUCCCAGAGAUAAGACCUUGCUAGAACAAUUUUUCGCCCCCGAAAACCCCCAUAUAGCAAAUUUGAUCUAUAAAUAAAUAUUUAUAUACAAGAAUUGGUCGUUUAAAGGUAUACGAUAAGAUUAUGUUGAUCUCGGUCAUUGUCAAUAAUACUAAUACCACCAAAAACUUUUUCAUGUAAAAUGUUGCCAAGAUGAAAACAUUAGGCUCGCACUGUAAAAAAAUUAUCAGAUCAUGAGAUAUACAUAAGUAGAGCCAAGCUUUAAAAUCAAAAGGCAUUUAUUUCGUUAAAUAGUACAACAUAACACUCAUGGUUGGGACUUCUUAGUAAGUAUGAAUAAUGCCUGUGACAGGAAGCUGAGAGAACCCUGGAGCACUGUCCGUUUUUAGUCCCAUAAUAAUACUUCUAACCUCAACGGGGUCAGCGGGUAACAGUACAAAGGGUGUUGCUACAGAAUUUAUUAAAGUCUCGUUCUUAUUGGUUGUUACUUCUGGGGCUCUGUAAAAAAUAUCCUCUGCUAAUGAAAGGCAUUGGCAAGGCCAACAUCAGCAAAGAAAACAUUGACAUUUUACUGACUCGUUAGGAGUAUAUUUUGUAUUUAAUAGUUCUAUAUUUUGAGUUUAGCUUGGUGUGACAGAUUUAAUUGGGUUCCACAGAGAUUUGGAGUUUUAAGAUAAAGAUAAAUGUUUAUUUGCAAGAACGUAGGUACAUAAGUUACAAGAUGUUAGGGUGAUAAUUCGGGUUUGCAUUUACAUUCAGCCAUUUAUUAGCGUGCAAAAUUCUUAGAACAUUGCAUUAAAUUAUCUCUUUCUAAUUUUCGUUUUAGUUUUUUAAUUAGAUUAUUGCAAAAGUUGCGAUAUCUUGUAUAAGUCUCUCCAACUGUAAAAAUUUGAUUUAUUUAGUAUACAUCUAAAUAAAUCAAUCGCGUCUAGACUGUUAAGCUAGCAGUGUCAUGAACUAAUGCUACAGAAUACAUAACUAGUAUGUAUCCAAAGUCAAGUAUAUGAUACAAUAUUACAGAGACGUAUAGUCUCCACGGUUAAUACAUUAAGUUAAGAGAUGUAUAAGGUCCCCAUGGUCUAAGAAAGAUACACAUUAAUAAGAUUUGGAGGUGUAAAGGCUCUCCGAGUGUCAAAGAAUUAAAAAAUAAAAAAGUGUAUGAAAUACAUGUUUCACGUCGAUCAAAAGACUGUUAAGCUAACAAUCUUACAGAAUACAUAACUACUAUGUAUCUAAUAAGUCAAUGUCGUAAUCAAAAUAACUAAACAUAAUAAACAUAAAUACAUAAGGUUGAACAGUCAGUAACAACAACGCCCUAUGCCUCUCCGGGACACUGCUAGAAAAACUAUGACAGCUUCUGAGGCUGGAUACUUGGCCAUAAUGGCCAUGGUUCCUUGUCUCCCAAGAAGUCAUCUAUUUUAUAGUAUCCCUCAAACAAAUGAUGUCAAUUUUGUGUGUUCUAUGUGUUAUUUAACCUUUUAAUUAUUUUUUGUGGUUCCUUACAAUGUAUAGUCGGACAUUUUUUCAACAUUUAAGUCUUUUUUUAUUUCAAUAAGAGUUAUAGGUUCUUUUUGAUAGGGUCUAAAAUAAACUGAAUGAGUUUUGUUUUAUUCGUAUUAACUUGGAGAUUAUGAUUCUGUAGCCAAAACCACGUUCGACGUAUUGCCUCUCUCUCUCGCCCUUGUAAAUUCGUACGUAAAUGUGACAGGGAGGCAACACGUCGAACGUGGUUCGCGGUAGGCCCUCAGAUCAUAGCGUAAUAAUUAACAUACACUAUUACUCACACACACUUAGUUACCUACCUCAUUUCGACUGUUAAGUGUGACCUUAAUUCAUAGUUAGUUCCUACUUCCUUCCUACAGUUAUAUUUGUAUUUACCUUUAUAGUUAUUUGUUUUACAAGGGGGCAAAGUUGUUGUUUAACCGCUCGUGAUAAUUGAUACCCGAGCAAGCGAAAUAUUGCAAACUUGAGCGUUGCGAGGGUUUCAAGGCACGAGGGUCAAUCAAAUUAUGCCAUCGAGUGAAACACAACAUUUUUCACCACACCAACGCGAGGAAAAUAAUAACUGUAAAAUAUCAAACAAAAUCAAACCAAAACCAAAUGAACGUCAUUUAAUACUGUAUCAUUCAAAAUCAUCCUUUAAAAGUCAAUUCUAGUAGCCGAAUUAAGGACACAACUCCAAAUUUGCAUCAGAUUGCUUUGCCCCACAUGUGGAUAAAAUGCAACUUUCUCAUCAGUUUUUGAAUAUUCAAGAGAGCCAGCUGGUGUGGUGAAAUAUAUAUUGAUUCUAAGAUUAAUAUUUUUUAUAUAUAAAAGCUUUCCAUUAAGAGAUUUUGUAACGAGUACAGUGAAUCCGUUUUUAAGUUUUACCAGAAUAUAUUUUGUACAGUUCAGCGUGUAAAAAUAUAGGUACAGCAUACAUAUAGGUACAUUCAGUAUUCAAAUUGUGCAAUAAUAACAAAUAUGUAUAUAUCAACUUAAGAAAUUAAUAAAGUUUGUUAUUAACUCA